rnacentral:rRNA from 1 species
GUGCCAGCCGCCGCGGUAAUACGUAGGGGGCAAGCGUUGUCCGGAAUCAUUGGGCGUAAAGCGCGCGUAGGCGGCUAGAUCAGUCUGCUGUGAAAGUCAAAGGCUCAACCUUUGAAUGCCGGUGGAUACUGUCUAGCUAGAGUCCGGAAGAGGCGAGUGGAAUUCCUGGUGUAGCGGUGGAAUGCGCAGAUAUCAGGAGGAACACCAACGGCGAAGGCAGCUCGCUGGGACGGUACUGACGCUAAGGCGCGAAAGCGUGGGGAGCGAACAGGAUUAGAUACCCUGGUAGUCC